UACGUAGGCAGCGAGCGUUGUUCGGAGUUACUGGGCGUAAAGGGUGUGUAGGCGGUUGUUUAAGUUUGGGGUGAAAUCUCCCGGCUCAACUGGGAGGGUGCGCCGAAUACUGAAUGACUCGAGUGCGAGAGGGGAGAGUGGAAUUCCUGGUGUAGCGGUGAAAUGCGUUGAUAUCCUAAGGAACACCGGUGGCGAAAGCGGCUCACUGGGUCUCUUCUGACGCUGAGGCACGAAAGCUAGGGGAGCGAACGGA
rnacentral:rRNA from 1 species